rnacentral:tRNA from 1 species
GUGGGUGUAGCUCAGUCGGUUAGAGCGUCUGAUUGUGGUCCAGAAGGUCGUGGGUUCGAUUCCCAUCAUCCACCCCA